rnacentral:miRNA from 1 species
UUAUGAAUCAUCUGGGGAUCAUGUAAAAAUUCAGAUACUGAUUUAAUAGGUUUGUGGAAGAACCUGAGAGUCUGCAUUUUAACAAGCUCUUAGGUGCCUUUGGU